UAUACAUGCAGUCGAGCGACUGAUUAGAAGCUUGCUUCUAUGACGUUAGCGGCGGACGGGUGAGUAACACGUGGGCAACCUGCCUGUAAGACUGGGAUAACUCCGGGAAACCGGAGCUAAUACCGGAUAACAUUUUCUCUUGCAUAAGAGAAAAUUGAAAGAUGGUUUCGGCUAUCACUUACAGAUGGGCCCGCGGUGCAUUAGCUAGUUGGUGAGGUAACGGCUCACCAAGGCAACGAUGCAUAGCCGACCUGAGAGGGUGAUCGGCCACACUGGGACUGAGACACGGCCCAGACUCCUACGGGAGGCAGCAGUAGGGAAUCUUCCGCAAUGGACGAAAGUCUGACGGAGCAACGCCGCGUGAGUGAUGAAGGCUUUCGGGUCGUAAAACUCUGUUGUUAGGGAAGAACAAGUACAAGAGUAACUGCUUGUACCUUGACGGUACCUAACCAGAAAGCCACGGCUAACUACGUGCCAGCAGCCGCGGUAAUACGUAGGUGGCAAGCGUUAUCCGGAAUUAUUGGGCGUAAAGCGCGCGCAGGCGGUUUCUUAAGUCUGAUGUGAAAGCCCACGGCUCAACCGUGGAGGGUCAUUGGAAACUGGGGAACUUGAGUGCAGAAGAGAAAAGCGGAAUUCCACGUGUAGCGGUGAAAUGCGUAGAGAUGUGGAGGAACACCAGUGGCGAAGGCGGCUUUUUGGUCUGUAACUGACGCUGAGGCGCGAAAGCGUGGGGAGCAAACAGGAUUAGAUACCCCUGGUAGUCCACGCCGUAAACGAUGAGUGCUAAGUGUUUAGAGGGUUUCCGCCCUUUAGUGCUGCAGCUAACGCAUUUAAGCACUCCGCCUGGGGGAGUACGGUCGCAAGACUGAAACUCAAAGGAAUUUGACGGGGGGCCCGCACAAGCGGUGGAGCAUGUGGUUUAAAUUCGAAGCAACGCGAAGAACCUUACCAGGUCUUGACAUCC
rnacentral:rRNA from 2 species